rnacentral:piRNA from 1 species
UGAACUCCUGUUCUACACUUCCCCCC